AUUGAACGCUGGCGGAAUGCUUUACACAUGCAAGUCGAACGAUGAAGUCUAGCUUGCUAGACGGAUUAGUGGCGAACGGGUGAGUAAUAUAUCGGAACGUAUCCAUUAAUGGGGGAUAACUAGUCGAAAGAUUGGCUAAUACCGCAUACGUCCUACGGGAGAAAGCUAGGGACCUUCGGGCCUGGCGUUAAUGGAGCGGCCGAUAUCUGAUUAGCUAGUUGGUGAGGUAGAGGCUCACCAAGGCGACGAUCAGUAGCUGGUCUGAGAGGACGACCAGCCACACUAGAACUGAGACACGGUCCAGACUCCUACGGGAGGCAGCAGUGGGGAAUUUUGGACAAUGGGCGCAAGCCUGAUCCAGCCAUUCCGCGUGAGUGAAGAAGGCCUUCGGGUUGUAAAGCUCUUUCGCAAGGGAAGAAAACUUACCCUCUAACAUAGGGUGAGGAUGACGGUACCUUGAUAAGAAGCACCGGCUAACUACGUGCCAGCAGCCGCAGUAAAAC
rnacentral:rRNA from 1 species